CAGAGCAGUGCCAGGAACUCAGGUCCUUUGAUGACGGUGAUCAUUGGCCACAGGCAGCCUCACCCAGCUUGCUGCUGCAAAGGCACUAACAAUUCAGACCCCUGCGCAAGCCUUGCUGAUUUGUUGAGGAAGAAAACUCCCAUGCUCCAGUGACAUGCUCAGCGAAGAAAGCUCCGCACUUGGACUCCCACACACGUGCCCACCUUGCCAGAGCAGCUGGGUCAGGAGGCAACAGUCAAAUUACCUCUUCUCAGUCCCUUCCUCUCUGCUACAGGCUUCCCUAUCGUCCCACACAUCCAAGCCAAAGGUCUCAAGAUCAUGAAGGAAUUCUCUUGAAUUCACCUCUCAUACCCACAAGCAGCCACCAAAUUCCAUCAAUUCUAUCUUUUAAAAAUCUCUUUCAAAUCCAUCCACUCAGACUUUAACAAUGACAAACCCACCGACUGAAAGGGCGGCAGGCAACAAUCUCAUUUGCUGCCGAGUGGAAACUGGAAACGCUUUUCUCAGAGAAAUUUAAAAGUAAGUUUCAGUGAUCUUAAAAAUAUUUAUAUCUUUUGACUUAGCAGUUGUACCCCUAUGAAUAAGGGGAAGGGGAAAUCAAAGAUAAGAACAAAGACUGUUUAAAAAAAAACGGAUGUUUACAAUAAUGUCAUGUUUUAAAAUGUAUUUUAAAAUGUAUUUAAUAGAAUGAGGUGUGGCUUAAGAUACAAUGUUAACUAUGAAAGAAUAUGAAACAUAUAUACCGUAUAGUUCUCAUAAAAAUAUAUGUCCAAUUCGAUGAUGAUUCAGAAACAGAAUAAUCAAUAGGCUUCUGUUCUCCUGUCUUUGUUCUCUAGCCAGCCAGCUGCUCUUCCUUUCUGUGGAUCAGGUGGGUGGGAUUAAACGGUGACAGCCUCCUGGUUGCUUGGGGCUUUUCUUAGUUCAGCCUACAGAGUCCUGAGUGUGGUAACAUUUUCAACAUCUUUACCUUGUGCUUUUUGGGACAGUAGAGACCCCCCUUGCUUCAAAUGCUGUUUUCUAUUACUUUCACCAUCAUACAACCCCAC
rnacentral:lncRNA from 1 species